UACGGAGGGUGCGAGCGUUGUCCGGAAUCACUGGGCGUAAAGGGCGCGUAGGCGGCUCGGGUAGUCAACGGUGAAAGCUCAGGGCUCAACCCUGAGUCGGCCGUCGAUACUCCCGUGCUUGAGCACUGUAGAGGCAGGUGGAAUUCCGGGUGUAGCGGUGGAAUGCGUAGAGAUCCGGAAGAACACCGGUGGCGAAGGCGGCCUGCUGGGCAGUAGCUGACGCUGAUGCGCGACAGCGUGGGGAGCAAACAGG
rnacentral:rRNA from 1 species